UUUGUGAAGCUCAGGGAGAGAUUGGAAUGAGGCACAGCUCAUUUCCUUUUUGCCUAUCUGAAAGCAGCUCUGCUGCAGAGUUUGCUUGGAAACCUUCCGGUAAAGGAACCAGCACUGGACCACAGAACCAGAUCUAGAUCCAAGCGGCCACGGUCCCCUUUGCUUUUUACUUACUCUUUCUUUGGCAAAUUCCUAAAAGCGCAGCAGUGGCUGGGUUACUCUCAUGAUGAUCUGAAUUCCAAAGAAGUGUUCUGGGAUUUUCAUCUUAGUUCAGAAGAGGGAACCAGAUUCCCUGGGACUGGACUGUCAUGUGAAUGCUGGGAACUGAACCUGUGUCUUCUGGAAGAGCAGCCUUAACUGCUGAGCAGCUCUGCAGCCUACGAUUCCAAUGCUGAUAAAUGUCAGGAUCCUGUCAGUUCUUGCUGGCCUUAUGAAGGCAGCAUGGACACCCAACUUUGUGGCUAAGCCUGUAGGCACCGCACCCAACUCUCUGGGCUUCAGUCCCACUCUGCUUCUUACAGGCUGAGUUAUUUUGGUAAACCGAAUGGCCAUAGGAAAAGUAUCCUAAAGAAGAGAGACCUCAAACUCGCCUCCUGUCUCCAAUGUGACUGGAGUUAUUUUUGUCUGAAUGAGUCACUGUGGACAAAGCCCUUUCCCAGUGAUGUCCUGGCAGGGGCUGUGUGGAUAGCUGCUGCUUUCUGACUCAUGUGUGCUGCUGUGAACCUAGUUUGAAUAUGCAGGGUUCUCCAUUUCUGCGGGCCUCCCAGUCUGAGCUGGCUGAGCUGCCUGUCUUUCGGCAGCACUGAGCUGUUUUCAUGUUCCCCGCUAUCUCAGUCAAGUGCAUGUCAACUUACAUGACUUCGCCAUAUGCCGAAUCAAAGAAGGUGGCAUAUUUCAUAAAGAAGGAUGGCAGUAAUGGAUUCUAAUGUGGCGGGUACAGUUUUGAGAAAUUCACAUUCCAAGUAACACUUAAAAAUGAAUAAAAUAAGAAAGAACAUGCAGGAGAAACAGUAAUAGCAAAAGAAGCCUUUAUAAAUAAAAAUGUUGGGUAAUAAAUAUAGAAAAAUAAUGGAAUUACAAAUAAUAAUUGUGUAAUUCUCUUUGUAAUUCUAAAGAAACAUCAGGUGAUAAAAGGUUUGGCCAGUGGCAACACAGUUGAUUUGGAAAGAACAAAGGGAACAUAUUUGUUAUAGAUCACACAAGUGGCCAAGUGUAAGACCGUGUGACAAGAUGUACUUCUUGGUUUGAUUCAGCAAGAGAGGUACAACACGCACGGCCUUUGCAGUGCUCCUGUGGCAGUGUUUGGGCUGAAUCUCGUCACAGCAAUGCAGUCAGAAAAAUUUAUACACCUGCUCUGGGCUCUGCGAAGGAUGCAGAUCCUAACAGAACAGAAGGAAGCACAGGGACCUCGCAGGGAGGCAUGCAAGGGAGUUUUCUGUGUUUGAGGUCUACGCCUCUCGAGAAGUGGAAACCCCAGAACAAGAGACUGAAGUUCCCCCUGAGGAACAGGAGAUCAUACAGCAUCACCGGACUGCUUCACACAUAGUUCAUGCCUUUCAUUAGCACAGCUAUAAAUACUGUGCUUUUGUUAAGCACUUACUUUAUUUUAGACACAAUGAUUUUCUUAUGAUACACAAUAAAUUUCUAACAUUUUCAUCAAUGUGGGAGUUAUAAAAAAAGUGACAUCGGGGAAUAGCUGCUGUAGCAGAAAGGGAACUUUUAUGAUUGGAAUCUAUCUCUUUUCUACUUAAAAAGAAUAUCAUCACUUAUCAAAAUGCAUUCAAUUCUUUGAAGCAAGGUUAAUUAUCUGGAUUUUAAUGACUCUUGAAAAUCAUACCAUUUCUUCAAAGGCUCAUAGAUAUUAUUUGUAUUAUAAAGAUAAAAAUAGUUGGGUCUCCUAAACACAGUUUCUUUCCUAAAAAAAUUAUCCCCUUGCAACUGUGUUUUCUCUUAGAAAAAAAAAUUCAUUAUUUCAAUUAUAAAUGUCUUUGAUAUGCAGUAUCUUACUUACAUUUUCACGACCUCAUUAAGUCCCCUGAAAGCUUGUGAUGGGAUUACUUUGACAGGGAGAUAGGUGAGUGAUCUGGGAAAGAAAAGAAAAAAGGUCAAAGCUUAAGGGUUAGGAAUAGCUGUUUUUCAAGUCCAUGAAUAGUAUGUGAUGUGUGUGUGUGUGUGUGUGUGUGUGCACGCAUGUGAGUAUGUGUAGUAUGUAGUAUGUGUGUGUAAUGUGUGUGUGUGUGAAGUGUGUAUGUGUGUGUGACGGGUAUAUGUGUAGUGUGUAUGCAAUAUGUGUAUGGUGUGUGUGUGUAGUGUCUAUAUGUGUAUAGUAUGUGUAUAUAGUGUGUGUGUAGUGUCUGUGUGUGUGCGUGUGCAUGUGUGUGCGCACACAUGCACACAUGUACUUGCACUUCCUGUGUAGUAGGUCUAAGCUAUGUCAGUAGAAGAUUAUGCCAGGGGUCAUUCUUGGUCCUUAUCAAAAUGUGUGAUUUGGUGCUUAAAAUGACAACUGUUAGUAUAUAAUCUCCACAGUCCCAUGUCCUGGUUACAUAACCCAAGCAUUCAUGCAAGCACUCUGCUUUAGUUUCUUCAUCAAUACAAUAGGAGUAACAAUUCCCAUCUUAUAGAACUGUUGGGAGAGUUCUAGACAAGGCAUGGCAUCAAGUAGACAACUAUCAACAGUUCUGAAAUGUUCUCUGCUUGGCUUUGAAGAUGGACAAGAAGCUAUUUGGAGCUGUGAGUAAACAAGUGGGGGAAUGACAGUCAGAAGAAGAAAGCUCUGCUGAAAAUAUGAUUCUAUCUCAUUGGCCAUAUCUUCCUGUCUCUACUGCCAUUACCUUCCCCAGGCAGCUGAUGCCAGUUUCUGAACCUGGUCCCUUUCCUCCUAUGCUUAAUUCAUGGGCAUUUCAUGUCAUUUGAGGGAGUAUCUAUGAGAGGUUUUUCUUCAGGCACUCACAGCCACAGCGACUACCUAAGCAUUCUCACAGUUGUUUGGGAAGGUGUACAGGACUUAAGUAUUGAUAAACAAGUGAUAGUCAGUCAUAGCAAAGCCAGUGCCUAGUGGCACACAAGCCCCCAAAAAACCUGAUGUGAGAUAACUUACAUCAGGCAAGGAUGAAUAGUCAGCCAUUUGUUGAGUACUUCUUUAAGGCAAGGAUGAAUAGUCAGCCAUUCGUUGAGUACUUGCAAUGGCUCAAGGCUAUGAAGGAAGUGGAUCAGGACAUUUCCAGCAAAAGCGCACAUGAGACUAGCCUGGCUGCUCACACAGCUGUACAGUGAUUGCCUUAGCCAUCAGGAAAGCACACCUCUGAUAGCAGGCUUCAAUCAGCAGGUGACAGAGGGGACCUGCUGCCUUUGUAAGUGGGUGUGUGAGUUAUGCACACCACUUAUGGCUUUAUUUAUUCCACAUGACAGUGGGACAGUGGAGGGAAAUGAGAACUUCCUUUUGGCAACAGAAGACGUUGAGUUGCAAAGAGGUUGACUGAGUAAAUCCACCAGGCCAUCAACCAAGCAGGCUGCCUCAGAAUGCCCUUUCUUCUGGCAAUAGUGCACUGAAGGGACCCUAACCCCUUUUGAACCCUAACCCCUUCUCUCCUGGGAAAGAGGCAGCAUAGCUUUCUUCUCUUGGCAGAAUGUUCUGCCCUCUCUAUUCCUCUCACAAAGCCACCUCCCAGUAGUUCCUUCCUUGGAGAUAAUGCAGAGGAAUUUCAGAAAACUUAUUUCUGAAAAAAUGCUCUCAGCCAUUUCUUAGAGGCCACAGAGAAAAGUCAUGCAAACAAGCUUCUCUAGUUCUGUUCUUGAGGGCAGUCCCACCAAGCAGCUCUCCCAUCAUUAUUUAACCAGAGCUCUCAGGAGAGCAGGGGCAGUGGAGGGAGAAGCCUCCUUGCUAUGGCAUGUUUGCUUCCUAUAUUUCUCCUGGAAUCAUGUCCGCUUGGCUUACUGAUUAAAAACACAGUUUUAUUGCUCUCUGCACUGCCAUGCCAAUAAAUUUCCAAAAAAGAAAGCUGUAUUCUACUGUACCCCAUGCAGCAUCAAUAAAACUGACAGCCAAAUUCCGAUUCCAGAGUCUUUAUUGCGGCAGAUAAUGCAGCACAGAACAUAUUUUGGAGAGUGUUUACACAAAAGCUUCAGCUGAACCCUUCAGAGCUGUU